rnacentral:rRNA from 2 species
UUAAUGUUCUGGAAAUGGAAUGGAGGGAAAUUUAAACCUCUUCCAGAGUAUCAAUUGGAGGGCAAGUCUGGUGCCAGCAGCCGCGGUAAUUCCAGCUCCAAUAGCGUAUAUUAAAAUUGUUGCAGUUAAAAAGCUCGUAGUUGAAUUUCUGCUGCAUUACAUAUCUCUUUUUGAGUUUGUUUUUGUGGCUUAUUUCGGUUUGAUUUUUUCUUUCCGGAUGAUUACUUUGAGAAAAUUAGAGUGCUCAAAGCAGGCUUUUGCCUUGAAUAGUUUAGCAUGGAAUAAUAAAGUAGGACUUUGGUUCUAUUUUGUUGGUUUUAGGUACCAAAGUAAUGGUUAAUAGGAACAGUUGGGGGCAUUCGUAUUUA